rnacentral:lncRNA from 10 species
UUUUUUUUUUGACAUGGAGUUUUGCUCUUAUUGCCCAGGCUGGAGUGCAAUGGCGCGAUCUUGGCUCCCUGCAACCUCUGCCUCCCGGGUUCAAGCGAUUCUCCUGCCUCAGCCUCCUGAGUAGCUGGGAUUACAGGCAUGCGCCACGACGCCUGGCUAAUUUUGUAUUUUUAGUAGAGACGGGAUUUCUCCAUGUUGGUCAGGCUGGUGGCGAACUCCCAGGUGUGCCUACCCUGGCACCGGUUCCCACGGAGCUUUCUGCCCUGGUAAAUUGUGAUUCCGGAUAUUCGUCUGCUGGUCUCUCCAGGUUGGGGAGUAAUGGUUUGCCCCAUGACCUCUCUUGCCAUAAGAAUCUAAAAGAACUGUUUGGUUUUUAGUUUGGUUAGCCUUCUCCUUGUUGUUAGGAUGAAGUGCUGACUCCCAAGCUUCGUGCUUGCUGGACUGGAAAUUGGAAGUCUGCCUGCCAGUUUUAAGAACCUAAAAAGUGAUGAACUGAAAAUGUCAGCCUGAGCUGACCAGCGCUUAUCCUCAUGUGACCUUGGGUGAAUUAAUGGACAUCUCUGAACCUCCAUUUUCUCCUGUGUAAAAUAGCAGCUGCAGCAAAAAUGAAAUAUCAAUAAUCUCUGAAAAGAAUUUAGCUCAGUGUUUGGUGAAGAUUGCCUCUCCUGAAGUCUAGAAAAGGGCUGGUUUGUUUGGAAGGCUGUGCCACGUGGCAAGAAGAGAAUAAACAUCUUGGGAAUUCUGGCUGUGCUGUACAUUUGCUGUGUGGCCUUCGGCAAGCUACUGACUUCUCUGAACUCAGGAUCUACAAACUGAGGAUAAGCAACAGGAGAAUCUCUGUGAAGUACUUUAAAAACAGGAGAUGUUUGGUAAAUGUGCAGUCACGUUCAUGACUCUUCAAAUUUCUUUUGAAAUUUCUGAAAAUGCCUGGUGCGGUGGCUCAUGCCUGUAACCCCAGCACUUUGGGAGGCUGAGGCGGGUAGAUCAUGAGGUCAGGAGUUCAAGACCAGCACGGCCAAGAUGGUGAAACCCCGUCUCUACUAAAAAUACAAAAAAAUUAGCUGGGCGUGGUGGUGCGUGCCUGUAAUCCCAGCUACUCAGGAGGCUGAGGCAGAGAAUUGCUUGAACCUGGGAGGCAGAGGUUGCUGUGAGCCCAGAUCGCACCACUGCACUCCAGCCUGGGCGACAGAGUGAAAUCCGUCUCAAAAAAUAAAAAAAAUUAAAAAAAAGAAAUUUCUGAAAAUACGUAUAUGGGGGAUUAAUUGCACAUGUGGUGUUGUACAUCCAUUAUUCUAUUUAAUCCUUACACCAGCCCUAUGAAGUGUCUAUGAUUAGUGUUAUUGCCCUUUUACUAAUAAUAAACUCAAGCUCUGGAGGGUUAAGUGUAAGUGGUUCAAGCUCAUAUAGUGCCAGAGAGUAAAGAUGUAAAUUCCCCCACCCCAUCAGCAGAGAGCCCCGUGCUCGUUACCACCAUAUUAUUCGUGAACAUUUCACAUCAGCUGGGACUUUUUGCCCAGGAAAUUACACAUCUGUGCACAAUUUUGCAUACCAUUGCAGAAGACUGAGUCUAUCCCAAACUCCUUGUUCUAAAGUAGAAGUUUCAACAAGGGACUGUAACUUCCUCCUGAAACACAGUUUGGGAAUUGGUAGAGGUGCUUUGGAUGAACACAUCAGUGUAGUACUAACAUGUGCUGGCAUA